GACGUAGGUGGCGAACGUUAUCCGGAAUUACUGGGCGUAAAGCGCGCGUAGGCGGACCUGCAAGUCGGGGGUGAAAGCCCGAGGCUCAACCUCGGAACUGCCUUCGAUACUGCGGGUCUCGAGUCCGGGAGAGGUGAGUGGAAUUCCUAGUGUAGAGGUGAAAUUCGUAGAUAUUAGGAAGAACACCAGUGGCGAAGGCGGCUCACUGGCCCGGUACUGACGCUGAGGCGCGAAAGCGUGGGGAGCAAACAGG
rnacentral:rRNA from 1 species